CCGAGUUUACAACUCCCAAACCCAAUGUGAACGUUACCAAACUGUUGCCUCGGCGGGAUCUCUGUCCCGGGUGCGUCGCAGCCCCGGACCAAGGCGCCCGCCGGAGGACCAACCAAAACUCUUAUUGUAUACCCCCUCGCGGGUUUUUUUAUAAUCUGAGCCUUCUCGGCGCCUCUCGUAGGCGUUUCGAAAAUGAAUCA
rnacentral:misc_RNA from 1 species